GUAAACAUACCUCUCAUUCACUUCAGCAUUUUUUGACAAGCCUAGAUCAAGAGUAGUGCAAGUUUUCAUUAUCAUUUGAGACGUCGCUUCCGUACUCAAACAAUUGGCCAAUCCCUUGCUGAAAGAAGCGUGACAGUUCUGGCAAACAUCCCUUCUUGAGUCAACUAUUUCCUUAACCAAAAGCAGAUGAAUAACGCUUCAAAUAUUGGCUUGUUGAUUGAUUUCUACGUAGGUACGGCUGAAUAGAAAAUCUUCCUUUACCUUUUGUGGACAGCUGGAAGUUUCUUGGAAGAUAUUAAGAAACAUACAAAAACCACUAGCUAAACAAUAUGCAUUGAUGAAAUAAUAUAUUGCAAGAGAACGUUUGGUUUGAGAACAACUCAUGCAACGAACACGAAUUUAACAAGGCCAAACCAAUCUACGAAACUGCUCUGAAAGCCAGCGGACACUCUGCAACACUAAUAUACAACAAAGACAAUCAACCAGCACGCCCCCGACGCAACAGACAAAGAAACAUUAUAUGGUACAACCCUCCUUUCAGUAAAAACGUUAAGACGAACAUUGGCAGAACAUUCCUGAAACUCAUAUCUAAGCACUUCCCGAACCAGCAUAAAUACCACAGCCUCUUCAACAAAAA